CCUACGGGAGGCAGCAGUGAGGAAUAUUGGUCAAUGGACGAGAGUCUGAACCAGCCAAGUAGCGUGAAGGAUGACUGCCCUCUGGGUUGUAAACUUCUUUUAUAUGGGAAUAAAACAGGGUGUGCAUACCCUCUUGUAUGUACCAUAUGAAUAGGGAUAGGCUAACUCCGUGCCAGCAGCCGCGGUAAUACGGAGGAUCCGAGCGUUAUCCGGAUGUAUGGGGUUUAAAGGGAGCGUAGGUGGAUUGUUAAGUCAGUUGUGAAAGUUUGCGGCUCAACCGUAAAAUUGCAGUUGAAACUGGCAGGCUUGAGUACAGUAGAGGUGGGCGGAAUUCGAGGUGUAGCGGUGAAAUGCGUAGAGAUCACGAAGAAUUCCGAUUGCGAAGGCAGCUCGCUGGACGGCAACUGACACUGAUGCGCGAAAGUGUGGGUAUCAAACAGGAUUAGAUACCCUGGUAGUC
rnacentral:rRNA from 1 species